AUGCUGUGGCUUUGGUCUAUAUUUAUGUCCUGCAAGUGUAAAAGGGUAAUCAGACUGCUUAAAAUUCACCUUCCCAAUGUGACCAAUGUUAAAAUACAAACUAAAAUUGCCAUCAAAUGAAGGAUUGUUCCUAAAGAUACCCUCUUGAAGCCAUUUUCUUCUUGGCUGGGCAAACGUAAGCAAAAAUCUGCUGUGGGGGGAGCAUUUGCAGGGGGGAAAUGGCCUGGGGAGGGUUAACCCUCAUCUGGAUUUGGGGGUCGAUUUCCACCCCCAGCUGCGCAAAGCAGCAACUUCUGCACUCCCAGCUAUGCCCUUGUUGUCAUACCUGCAAUUUAGUACACAAUAUAACCACAAAUAUGGUCCACCAAUUAAGAUAUUUAUGUUAUUAAUAAAAAAAUAUGACACAGGGUAGAAAACCACUCUAGAAAUGGACUCCCUUUGGUGGGGUUGUUUCUAUCCCAUUUCCAUGUCGAGCCAUUUGGGAUAGGAGAGAACACCCUGUUUCUCUUUGGAAACUUCAGCUUUGCUUCCCCUUGCAAGUGCAGUUGGCCUUGAAAAAUGAUAAUGUCUGAAAAAUAGUCUGAGGCAUUGCAUCGUUCUGUGCUUCUGAGCCAGGGUAGAUGAAACCAGCCUCUCCCACAAUAUGGGACAAUUAAUCAUACAGAAGCAUCUGACCUUGCGGAAGCAGGGAUUUCAGCCACCAGAACAGGCUAAAAGGAUCACAACAGCAGUAACCACAUGUCAGCUUCAGUAAGCCUGGCAUCAGUGGAUCAGCCACUCUGGGUCAACCAGAAGUGGGCCUCUUUCCAUUUCUCCUAGUGGGAUACAGCACAAAAAAGAGGUACCGCAGCCCUGAUUUCACAUGUGAAGGGCUACGCUCAUCUGAACCCGCCCUCAGAGAAUGGGAGCGGAAUAUUUUCCCAGCAUGUUUGUGGCAGAGGCUCCCUUGAGCAAGCAGUUGACCUUUGUAGGCACUAUGACACACAACAAACCAGACAAACCCUCAGAGGUGAAACCACAUUCACAAAUGGAACCAUUGUAAUCUGUGUUUGGCUUGGACAGAAGACGUCGGUUUUCCAUGUAUACAAGAAGCGCAUGCCCAAGGGUAGCUGACAAUAAACCAAACAGAAGUUGUGACAAUUGUGGGAGACUGACUUGUAGGACACACUUGACUAGCUCCCAGACCUAUAAUGAUUGCCUUUAGGUCCGCCACAGUGUGUCCUUUCAGCUGAAAUGCUGAGAAUCGGGAUGUUGAAUCAUGGAUUCUCAUUAGUGUAGGGUUUGAAAAGUUCAUUUUUCUUAGCUAACACUUCACCAUCACACAGAGCGUCAUACUUUGGGUGUGGGGGUCAUCAUUGCACUCCUUUGAAAUACAUUAUUGUAGGUUCUGUGGUCUGGAAAAGUUGAUGGGCAUCCAGUGUAAUGGAACUACUUGGAAGUAGGAGGUCCUACGCAAAUAAAAAUCAUGACUCAGGAUGAGGGUUAAACAGCUACCUCCUCUGGAAGAACAGCUCCCCCAAGCGCUACAAGGAAAAUAGGAGGGCUGGGAGUUUUGUUUCUCUCAUGAUUUUGCCCCGUUUGAAAUCACUUGCAUGUUACCUUGUAGGAUCUUUAGACCUUGAACAGACAGGUAGGGAGGAACAACUAAAAACUGAGUACAAGUAUGUAGUUAUAAAUAUCAGUGGAAGAACUCAAGAGUAGUUCUUGCCUAUAAAUGUAUCAAGGAUAGCCAUGAAGUCACAAAAUAUUUUGAUCACGGACAAGCUAAAUUCAGAGACUAAUUUCAAAGCUUUGUUACAGAAAACAAAACCAAAAAUUAGCUUUUAGCAGAACUUUUUCUUUUUUUAACAUUUUAUAUACAUAGAAAACAUACAUUUUAAAAAAAUAUACAGCAUGAAACCUUUAAUAUAUGAGAAGAAUUUUUUUUAAAAAAAUAAAAUAUUUCAAGUUGUCAAAUACAUUAAACACACCACACAAAGGAAUGGCAUUUUAAGCAUUAUAUCUGAUGCAAUACAAGUAGCUUUUUAAAGGAUAUUAUGAAGACCACUCCGUAGUUUUGCAGAGUGUGUCUGCAUGCCCACACAGCUGAUCAGUGGAAUCCCAGCUUCUUUGAAAGGGCUAGGCACAUCUAGUCCUGACUAUUGGAUCAAACCAAGGAACCAAAUCUGCAAUUGGGCAGCAAGUACAAUUCCCUGUUCAACUAGGAUAUAAUGGCAAUCCUGAAGCCACCUACAGUGUUAACGGCAGAGCCCACACUUGAAUUGGCAACUUAUUGAUUUAUCAGUCACUUUCCGCUUUACACUACACUGAUGACAUUGCUAGCUUUGGGAUGAACAGAGAGUGAUUGCGCAAUAUUUUGAAGAAUAUUUUGUUUAUUGCUAGUUUAUUAAAUUAAUGGCCAUUGCUGGACCAUUAAUCAAUUUGGGGUAACUGCAACAUAUUUAGCUGCCAUUACCUUGGACAGCCCUAAGAUCUUCACAUAGCAUUCUUACUCCUGACAAUUCAAUAAUGCUCUUAUGAUAUCUGUGUUUACUUCGGUGUCUCACUAUAUGCUCCGUUUGCUUAGCAAACAUUUGUCCAAAUGUCUUGGACUGAUACAAUGCCACCUAUAUGUAAAUAAGUAUCUAGGCAGUAAACAUUGUUGUCAGAAGCUGCCUUCUCCAUUCCUCUUUAAAUAUCAAAGUAGUGCCAGUUAAGAACUGUCAAAUUAAUCUCUGCAAUAGUUAGACAUGGAGACCCUGAUGGUCUGGUGGCAGCUCAGAUCUUCUCCCACUGUGUGUUGUUUGGUUCUCUGGGGCGCCCCCCCCCCCCCGCCAAUAAACUAUUCUUGAUUUUGUGUUUACUGCUGUUGCUUGAAGUUCCUUAUAUAGAGUAAAUGUGAUCCAAUUCCCACUUGUGGGCACCCUACACCUAUAUUUCCUGCCAUAAGCAAUAUAUAUUUGAACUCUGUUAUACACCCAAAGUAGCUAAAAAUGCAGGGAAAUGCCUUUUUAAAAAUUGUUAAGCAUCUUUCUCUCAAGAGUAGUGUAAAAUCAGUACUAUUCAUGAUUUCAUUGUAUUUGCAGUGAAUAAAUACACUUGGUCACCA